rnacentral:rRNA from 1 species
CAGCCGCCGCGGUAAUACGUAGGUGGCAAGCGUUGUCCGGAAUUAUUGGGCGUAAAGGGCUCGCAGGCGGUUUCUUAAGUCUGAUGUGAAAGCCCCCGGCUCAACCGGGGAGGGUCAUUGGAAACUGAGAAACUUGAGUGCAGAAGAGGAGAGUGGAAUUCCACGUGUAGCGGUGAAAUGCGUAGAGAUGUGGAGGAACACCAGUAGCGAAGGCGACUCUCUGGUCUGUAACUGACGCUGAGGAGCGAAAGCGUGGGGAGCGAACAGGAUUAGAUACCCCCGUAGUCCCUGUCUCUUAUAC